UACAGAGGGGGCUAGCGUUGUUCGGAAUUACUGGGCGUAAAGGGCGCGUAGGUGGCCUGUUAAGUCGAACGUGAAAUCCCCGGGCUCAACCCGGGAACUGCGUCCGAGACUGGCAGGCUCGAAUCCGGGAGAGGGAUGUGGAAUUCCAGGUGUAGCGGUGAAAUGCGCAGAUAUCAGGAGGAACACCGGUGGCGAAGGCGGGUCUCUGGGCCGAUACUGACGCUGAGGAGCGAAAGCGUGGGGAGCGAACAGG
rnacentral:rRNA from 1 species